rnacentral:rRNA from 1 species
GACCAAGAAGUCUAACAUGUGUGCGAGUCAUUGGGUAUUUUGUUGAAACCUAAGGGCGCAAUUAAAAUAACUAUUUUAUGGGAUUACAAGUGAAUUAAUUUUCAUUUCUCCAUCCCGGGGCGUUCUAUACGAACAUGGUGCAAGCAAUUGUACCCGCUGUUCAAGAGCGUACCUUGAGCAUACAUGCUGUGACCCGAAAGAUGGUGAACUAUACCUGAUCAGAUCGAAGCCAGGAGAAAUUCUGGUGGAGGAUCGAAACAGUUCUGACGUGCAAAUCGAUUGUCAGAAUUGGGUAUAGGGGCGAAAGACCAAUCGAACCAUCUAGUAGCUGGUUCCCUCCGAAGUUUCCCUCAGGAUAGCUGGCGCAAAGAAUUAUAUUGUAUAUAAUCUUAUCUGGUAAAGCGAAUGAUUAGAGGCCUUGGGGCCGAAACGACCUCAACCUAUUCUCAAACUUUAAAUGGGUAAGAACCUCAUCUUUCUUGAUCUGAAGAUAUUGGGGUUUAGAUAUAUUGUGCCCAGUGGGCCACUUUUGGUAAGCAGAACUGGCGCUGUGGGAUGAACCAAACAUGAUGUUACGGCGCCUAAAUUAAUGACUCAUAUUGAUACCAUGAAAGGCGUUGGUUGCUUAAAACAGCAGGACGGUGGACAUGGAAGUCGUAAUCCGCUAAGGAGUGUGUAACAACUCACCUGCCGAAGCAACUAGCCCUUAAAAUGGAUGGCGCUCAAGUCAUAUGCCUAUACAUCAUCGCUAGAAUAAAAAUUGUUGGCCAUUUGGUCAUCAUUAUGAAAUUCUAGUGAGUAGGAGGGUACAAUGGUGUGCGCAGAAGUGUUUGGCGUGAGCCUGCAUGAAGCCGCCAUUGGCACAGAUCUUGGUGGUAGUAGCAAAUAAUCGAAUGAGAUCUUGGAGGACUGAAGUGGAGAAGGGUUUCGUGUGAACAGUGGUUGAUCACGAGUUAGUCGGUCCUAAGCUUUAUGCGAAAGCUGUUUAAUUUAUGUUACACACAAAAUUUUUGUUGUACAUAAUUCAAUAAAAGCGAAAGGGAAUACGGUUCCAAUUCCGUAACCUGUUGAGUAUACGUUUGUUUAUUAAAAAUGGGUCUUAUUACACUCAUCCUGGCAACAGGAACGACCAUAGAGAAGCCUUCGAGAGAUACUGGAAGAGUUUUCUUUUCUGCUAAACAAGCGUAUCACCAUGGAAGUCUUUUAUAGAGAGAUAUGGUGGAUGGCUUGGAAGAGCAUGACAUUUACUGUUGUGUCAGUAUUUUCUCCUUGGACCUUGAAAAUCUAUGGUGGGGCCACGCAAACUUCUCAACAGACCGUACCGAUAUCCGCAG